AUUGAACGCUGGCGGCAGGCCUAACACAUGCAAGUCGAACGAGUGGCGGACGGGUGAGUAAUGUCUGGGAAACUGCCUGAGGGAGGGGGAUAAAUAAUGGAAACGGUAGCUAAUAACGCAUACCAUCAGAUGGGCCCAGAUGUGAUUAGCGAGUUGGUGGGGUAACGGUUCACCAAGGCGACGAUCCCUAGCUGGUCUGAGAGGAUGAACAUCCACACUGUAACUGAGACACGGGCCAGACUCCUACGGGAGGCAGCAGUGGGGAAUAUUGCACAAUGGGCGCAAGCCUGAUGCAGCCAUGCCGCGUGUAUGAAGAAGGCCUUCGGGUUGUAAAGUACUUUCAGCGGGGAGGCGUUACCCGCAGAAGAAGCACCGGCUAACUCCGUGCCAGCAGCCGCGGUAAUAC
rnacentral:rRNA from 1 species